GAAGAUCAAGAAAAGAGGUCAUACAAUGGUAUGCCCAGUGAGUUUGUUAAGAUCUCUGAAGAGCGUGCCACAUACGCAACAAGAAGUGCAUAAUGUAUAAACAAAUAUGAAAAGCUGCAGGCACAUAGAAAUUAUGGUCAGAAUUUCUCCAGUCAAAAAAUAUGAACUUGUAACUGAGUGUCAUUACAUAGGAUUAUGAAUCCCAUUGUGAUGCUUAGCUCAAUGUUUAUUAUGAUUCGGAGUUCUUAUACAUAAAUAAACCUCAGCCGUAUUGAAUUUAUCAUACCAAACUGUUCUCACUCCAGCUGUCCCUAGAGUGCGCUUGGCCAUUGAAACCUGAAAAAAAGGCGCCUUCAGACAGCAUGCUCGCUACUUUCAAACCAAGCAAGAUACAAAAUAUACAAGGAACGAAAUACAUAUCAUAGAUGGCUAGAUGCAACACCCCACCAGUUAUUGAGUACUUUCUCAUAUUUGGAGUGUGUUUGAUUCUCUUUUGCCAGUCUUAAUAGAUGGACCUUGUGUUCAGGUAAAAUAUGUCCAGGCACUUCAUAUGCCACUUUUUAGUUGCAGAUUCAUUUUAGUUGCCUCUAAUAGAAAUAUUUAUCAGGAAAUCAGCAAAUGGGAUGGCACGUUAACUACCAGGGAGACACUUCCAGAUCCUAGUUCACACAUUGUAUUGACAUUUACUUCAGCAACUAACAGCCCUGUUACAACCUGGAGAAAGUAGUGGCAAACAAAAACUGUCAGUGUAGACAAGUAAGCGAAUUAGACAAAAUAUUGGGUGAAACUAUCAAACCCUCCCGUAUCAAGGUGACACACACAAGAAGUAAAUAUUCUUUACGAUGAGAAUUUAUCCAAGAACGCGCAAUGCAAAAGGGUUUUACCUUUGAGAGGCUUCUCUGACUGCAUGUCACCUCUAAUAUGUCGGGUUUGAUAGUUUACCCUGUCAAUGACAUUCUAUUACCAUAUAUGUCCAGCAGAAAACGCAUGUGACUGCUGAGGCCAAGAAUCCAGCUUCUUGUGUGACGGCAGGGAUCGCAAGGAUACCUGCCCCGACCUAUGGCAUCAACGUAGAUGAAAAGGAAGGGAUGUCUCAAGUAGUUCCUAACAUUUGUGAAAUAAGGCCACUGUGGGUUGAGUUUUGUCUCAAAGUUGCUGAAGCUUCAAGUGAUUCUCGACAGGCGCAUUGCAUUUUAACAUAGCCUUACCUGCGGCCUAGUACGCAAUCUGACAUAAAAAUUUCAGGUCUUGCAUUUUACAUCAAAGGCGGCAAGAAGGAAGACGGAACCGGUGAUACAUCGAAGGCAGUAAGAAGGAAGACGCAAUCUUACAUUUCAACUUACCGUUGUGCCGGCCACAAGGAAGACGGAACCGGUGAUACUCCCUAGCAUAUCCAAGCGACAAACAGAGACACAAUCCUGUCAGCUGCGCCUCAAAGGCAAAAUAUAUGCGAAAGAAAGCUCAGCAAAGCAACGGACAGCAUGAUCCGAGCGUGGUCACCUGGCUCGUGCUUCAUGGUUGCCUUGUUGACAUUUGAGAAGAGGCGCUCCAGCUGCGGAGGCGAGCUACCCGGCGAUCGCCCCUCGGCAGACUGGGAACGGCAUUGCUGCAGCCUCCUCCUCCUGGCCUCCCCUGUCCUGCUAACCGCCGGUGUUCUUGCGGAGAAAGAUCGUGAGAUGGACGAUGCCGGCCGUGAGCCCAGUACAGGGCAGCACUGGAGAGCGGCUGCUGCCAUUGCUGCCGCUGCCGCUGCUGCUUCUUCCUCUCAGUAGAGGUAGGCUUGGAGCUUUCCUUUUUCCUUUUUCUUUUUCUGUUAUUAUCCUCCGGUUGUUAUUGGUGGGGAUUUGUGUGGCCCAGGUGUCCAGGCUGAAAAGUUCUGGUACUGUGGCGCAAUGCCAGUCCAAGAGCUGUGUGAGUGUUUGUGGAUCAGCUCUGUGUGGAAGGAAUGAAGCAGAACUGUCACUUGCCCAAAUUUUUUGUUGCUCCAUGUGCGUAUGCUUAAGGAAAGAUCCAUGAUCUGUUGAUGGUUUGCAAA